rnacentral:rRNA from 1 species
GGAUCCAGACUUUGAUCAUGGCUCACGAUGAACGCUAGCUACAGGCUUAACACGUGCAAGUCGAGGGGAAACGACAUCGAAAGCUUGCUUUUGAUGGGCGUCGACCGGCGCACGGGUGAGUAACGCGUAUCCAACCUGCCCACCACUUGGGGAUAACCUUGCGAAAGUAAGACUAAUACCCAAUGAUAUCUCUAGAUGACAUCUGAAAGAGAUUAAAGAUUUAUCGGUGAUGGAUGGGGAUGCGUCUGAUUAGCUUGUUGGCGGGGUAACGGCCCACCAAGGUAACGAUCAGUAGGGGUUCUGAGAGGAAGGUCCCCCACAUUGGAACUGAGACACGGUCCAAACUCCUACGGGAGGCAGCAGUGAGGAAUAUUGGUCAAUGGGCGAGAGCCUGAACCAGCCAAGUAGCGUGCAGGAUGACGGCCCUAUGGGUUGUAAACAGCUUUUAUAAGGGAAUAAAGUGAGUCUCGUGAGACUUUUUGCAUGUACCUUAUGAAUAAGGACCGGCUAAUUCCGUGCCAGCAGCCGCGGUAAUACGGAAGGUCCGGGCGUUAUCCGGAUUUAUUGGGUUUAAAGGGAGCGUAGGCCGGAGAUUAAGCGUGUUGUGAAAUGUAGACGCUCAACGUCUGCACUGCAGCGCGAACUGGUUUCCUUGAGUACGCACAAAGUGGGCGGAAUUCGUGGUGUAGCGGUGAAAUGCUUAGAUAUCACGAAGAACUCCGAUUGCGAAGGCAGCUCACUGGAGCGCAACUGACGCUGAAGCUCGAAAGUGCGGGUAUCGAACAGGAUUAGAUACCCUGGUAGUCCGCACGGUAAACGAUGGAUGCCCGCUGUUGGUCUGAAUAGGUCAGCGGCCAAGCGAAAGCAUUAAGCAUCCCACCUGGGGAGUACGCCGGCAACGGUGCAACUCAAAGGAAUUGACGG